rnacentral:sRNA from 1 species
UUUAACCUAAACGAUGCUAGCCCUACCUCUCUAACAUCCUUACGGCUCUUUAGCCGAUCCAGUGAGAAUAAGUCUUAAUGAAAGAAA